ACAAAUACCCACCAUUUGCUUCAACGUGGAUGGAACUGGAGGGUAUUAUGCUGAGUGAAUGGUGUACAAUACUGUGAUCCAUACCUACACAUACAUCCUCAAAUUAAUCCAUUACUAUUUAGAAGAGAAUCUCAGAAGCUACAUCCGUUGGUCAAAGAGCACACAAACAAGGGGAGAAGCAGCAGAGGCAGGAGGAGAAGCAGGCUCCCAGCUGAGCAGGGAUCCCAGUGCAGGGCUGAUCCCAGGACCACAGGAUCAUGACCCGAAUUGAAGGCAGACACUUAACCAACUGAGCCACCCAGGUGCCCUGAAGGAAGUCACUCUUAAACAUUUAAUUAUAGAACUAAUGUUUAAUAUUUAGUCUAGAAAUGUAUAGUCUAUAUAUAUUCAUACAUAUAUAUAUGAAUCAAUAUAAUUCUUUUUGAGUAAUUUCAAAUUUUGAAUAUACUUUUACAU